rnacentral:lncRNA from 1 species
UGGAGAGCCAGCAGAACUUGAAGGUUCAUCAUCUUCAGAAGCCACAGCUCACUCCAAGAUGCGGUACUCCACCAUAAUUCUGGGAUGUCUGCUUGUAAUGCUGAAUUUGGAAGAUGGUCUAAGCAAGAGUUUGGUUAAUUCGGAGACGACCUGCUGCUAUGAAUUCCAGCUGAGAAAGUGUGCAUACUCACACAUCAAAAGCUAUGAGCUCACUAGCUCCUCCUGCUCCUACAAGGCUGUGAUAUUUACUCUGAAGAAGGGCCAAAAAAUCUGUGUACAUCUUGAAGAAAAAUGGGCUCAGAAUUACUUGAAUAAACUGAAGAAGAGUUCAAUUAAAACACACAUUUGAGGGCUACUUCUAACCAGAAGACUAUCUCGAUUCCACCAGUUGCCAUUAUACUCCCCCUUCAUUUGUAAAUAUUGUGUAUUUAAUUGUCUAUGUCCAUGUUAUGUGUAAGCUCCAUGAGGAGAGGGAAGGCUUCCUCUCCUUUUUUUGUUUUGUAUCCCCAGCACCAGUUUCACUGUCUGGUAUGAGAAAAUUGAGAAAUCUUUGUUGAAUUGAAAGUGGACUUCCAACAAAGAAUGAAGAUAUCUGGGCAUCCUAAAGCCCUGUUUAUUCACCAGCCCCUUACUGAUUGUUUUGCCAGACUCUGAAGUUUAGCCUGGGUCUCAAUAAGCUAUUAUUGUGUCUUAUUUAUUGGGGGGGGGGAACCUCCAGUUUCUGUAACCUGUUUAUUAUGUGGACUCUACUUGCAAAUAGAGAUGAAGCCUCAUUUGGCUUAUGACUGGGUGUCAUAAGGCAUCAUGGACUUGUUUGACUUGGAAUAAAUAUAACUUAUCUAAAUUAAGACA